AAAAUAAUCGCUAUAUCUCUGCUAUCUGCUAUGGAAGAAAAAAACAUCUACUUCUUCCCUCGCCUCCGAAAACCCUAAUCUUCUUAACUCAUUGUUUAUUUUUUUUAUGUGCGGCUUUUUUUCUUAUAUUCAUCUGUGUUUGGAUGUUUUCAGUUUUUAAUGUAACUGUUGGUGAUUUAUUUUUGUUUCAAUUUUGUAGGGGGGAGCGCUAUAUCUCUGCUAUGGAAAAAAAAAAAACUUUUCUUCUUCCCUCGCCUCUGAAAACCCUAAUCUUCUUAACUCAUUGUUUAUUUUUUAUGUGGGGAUUUUUUUCUUAUAUUCAUCUGUGUUCGGCUGUUUUCUGUUUUUAUUGUAAUUUUUGAUGAUUUAUUUUUGAUUCAAUUUUGUAGGGGGAGAGAUAAUUUUUGAUUCAAUAAGAAUUAAGAAAGAUGGGUUUUAUUUGAUCUGAUUUUAUUCGUUUUUUGUGAUAAUUUUUUUUUCUCUGAUUUAUCUUUAUUAUUUUUCUUACUGUAAUUUGGUCAUAGAGAGUUGGUUUUUGCAUAGGAAUACUUUGUUCAGCCUUGCAAAGCACUACGAAACUGGAGAGGCGCUCCCAGAAGACUAUGUUGCAGGAUACUAAUGGCAUUUGAGGAUGGAGAAUAUCCUUUGCGCAGUUGUGGAGUAAAGUCCCCAUCCAUCUCUUCCCUAGCUUUGCGCAGUUGUGGGCCAUGGUUUUUUGAUUGAAGAGCAAAGAAAUUAAAGAAAGCAUACUUCGACAUAGACGAUGAAGAAUAUCCUUGAACAUCAGAUAAGUUCGUUGUUGGAACAGAUGUAUAUGUUCUAGACUAUAUGCCACCUUCCUCAGUAACACUCAAGGAUCGAAGAAGUAUGCAUUGGUCAGUGGUUCUCUUAGGAUUUUAUCGAUGUAUGCAAUUGAUCAUACAUGUAAACAUCUGAGUUGUCUUCCAAAAGAGAUAGCAAUUACAUUUGGGAAGGACUGUCCAGGAAAAACACCACUUCAUUAAGCAGCUCAAGGUGGUUCUUUGGAAUGUGUUCAAGAAUGUCUUGCAUGAGGAGCAGAUCGAAUUAAAAAAAAAUGCAUCUGCAAAAAUUCGAAGGAGGAGGGGUCCGAGAGGAUAGAUCUUCUUGCUUAGUUAGCAGACGAAGAAGCUCUUCAUAGUUCAUACAGCAGGAGCAAUGGUUUCUGCCAGUGUUGUUUUUCCUGUUAACAUUUUUUCAAAACCCAAUUUUCAUCCGUGUGCCAGAUGCUUUGGUCCUGCUACCACCUGUUGCUCCAGAUGCGCAAGCCUGUUAGAUAUCGGUAAUUUUUUGGUUUAGUUUCUCUUUUUUUUUUUUUUUUUUUUUUCCAAUAUGUAAUAUUACAAUGGCAUACAAUAAUAUCAUCACAUCCAUUGUCAUUUGAUUCUUUCUGAACAA